CCGUUUGACUCGGAUACACGUCACAAUAGGGAAACUUUCUUUUCAUGCUGACUUUAACUAACAAAAGCCAGUUCUUUUAUAACAUCCUCCUCCAGUGACAUCAUUUUGGAGGGAAAACAACAGCACAAAUGUGAGCCCAUCUUGAAGACUGGAGUGACCGGAUUCCCCUACAAAAUAAAUAAGACAAACUCAGUGGAGUUUGUAAUGCUUUACAAUCAAAUCAAGGAGAGAAUCUGAGUUCCACUUCCACGGUUUUCAGCGGUGGAUGGGUCUGAACUGAGAGACUGGAUCAUGGACCACCACUCUCUGCUGGCUGAUGACAUCUCCACCAGCUCUUGACUGCCUUGAAGAACCUGAACGGGUUGAAAUGAAAGCAUGAUGUUGUUGGGUGUGAGAUCUCGGUGGAUGAUCCGUUUCUCCUUGUAGUUCCUCAUCACCUGUAUGAAAAUGUUCCAGACUCUCUCCUCGGUGAACGUCUGCCGUUUCUCUUUGAGAGAGCUGAAAUGUUCAGCCA